CCUACGGGUGGCUGCAGUGAGGAAUAUUGCGCAAUGGGGGAAACCCUGACGCAGCGACGCCGCGUGGAUGAUGAAGGCCCUUGGGUCGUACAAUCCUGUCAGAUGGAAAGAAGUGUUAUGGAGUUAAUACCUCUGUAGCUUGACGGUACCAUCAAAGGAAGCACCGGCUAACUCCGUGCCAGCAGCCGCGGUAAUACGGAGGGUGCAAGCGUUGUUCGGAAUUACUGGGCGUAAAUUGCGCGUAGGCGGGUGAAAGUCCCCGGCUCAACCGUGGAAGGGCAUUUGAAACUGGCAGACUUGAGUAGUGGAGGGGGUGGUGGAAUUCCCGGUGUAGAGGUGAAAUUCGUAGAUAUCGGGAGGAAUACCGGUGGCGAAGGCGACCACCUGGCCAAAUACUGACGCUGAGGUGCGAAAGCGUGGGGAGCAAACAGGAUUAGAUACCCGAUAGUC
rnacentral:rRNA from 1 species